AAUUCAAGGUGAAAAAAAGGUCAACACUGAAUAUUAAAUUUAUAUUAUAUGAGGCAAUAAACAGAAUAAAAAAUACUAAACCACUAAUGGAUGUAAUAAAGGACCUCUCAGAAAACUGUAGCUAUUAGCACAUUGAAAUACCUUUUUUAUGUAAACACAUACAUUUCUUCUUUUUUUUUUGUCAAACAGAAAAUCUUAGUUAUUUCACCAUCCGUAAUAUUGUACAAAAUGUAAUUCACACGGGCAGAAAGACGCAAGUCGUUAGCGAUUUGCUAAGCAAUAAAUAUACUUUCUCUCUCUCUCUCUAAAAUACUUGAAAUAAGAAUUUCAAGAUUAAUCAACUCAUAUUCAGCCUAUUUCUGGAAGAACUGAAAUUUAAAUGUAAUCAUCUACAAUCCCAACCUGAUAUUCAUCAGAAAUUUUAUUCAAAUAUGAAAAGAAUUGAAAAGUUGAGACUGUUACAAAAAUAUAUGCCCACAUAAAGUGAUAGACAGACACAAAACCAAAGUUAUUCAGAAUGGUCUGAAAUGCAUUUUGUUCACAAACAGAAAUUUUGAAUUCAGAGGUCAAAGGUUUUUUCAAACUCAAAGUUAUAUAUGCCUUCAAUAUACUCAAAAGCAUGUGAUGUACUACCCAGUUUCCAGUCUCAUCAUACACAUAGGGUUAAAACAAGACACAUAAGUGGCAUUAAGUUGAAAGUGCUCAUUCAAAACAUGUUCUGAAGAAUUCAUCAUGGAAUCAGAUGAUCUUGAAAUUUUUCAUAAAAUAACAUCGCUGGAUGAUUUCAAAUUGCUGCAAAUAUAUCUGAAUAUGAUAAUACAGUGGUAUUCAGAAAAUGAUUUGGAAUUAAACAUGGAUAAAUGUGGUGUAUCUGUAUGAUCUGUUCUAUAUGAUGAUAUUAUAAAUAAUAUGAGACUUUAA